GGGUCUAUAGCUCAAUUGGCAGAGCGCCCGGCUCAUAACCGGUUGGUUACAGGUUCGACUCCUGUUAGACCCACCA
rnacentral:tRNA from 2 species